rnacentral:SRP_RNA from 1 species
GCCAGGCACAGUGGCGUGUACCUGUAGUCCCAGCUACUGGGGAGGCAAGAGGAUGGCUUAAGCCCAGGAGUUCUGGGCUGUAGUGCAGUAUGCCAAUCAGGUGUCCAUACUAAGUUCAGCAUCAAUCUCAUAACCUCUGAGGAGCAGGGGGACCACCAGGUUGCCUAAGGAGGAGUGAACUGUCCCCAGGUCAGAAACAGAGCAGGUCUAAACUCCCAUGUUGAUCAGUAGUGGAAUUGCACCUGAGAAUAGGUGAACAACCCUGCACUCCAGCCUGGGCAACAGCAAGACCCUGU